rnacentral:rRNA from 1 species
CUACGGGCUGCAGCAGUGGGGAAUAUUGCACAAUGGGCGCAAGCCUGAUGCAGCCAUGCUGCGUGUAUGAAGAAGGCCUUCGGGUUGUAAAGUACUUUCAGCGGGGAGGAAGGGAGUAAAGUUAAUACCUUUGCUCAUUGACGUUACCCGCAGAAGAAGCACCGGCUAACUCCGUGCCAGCAGCCGCGGUAAUACGGAGGGUGCAAGCGUUAAUCGGAAUUACUGGGCGUAAAGCGCACGCAGGCGGUUUGUUAAGUCAGAUGUGAAAUCCCCGGGCUCAACCUGGGAACUGCAUCUGAUACUGGCAAGCUUGAGUCUCGUAGAGGGGGGUAGAAUUCCAGGUGUAGCGGUGAAAUGCGUAGAGAUCUGGAGGAAUACCGGUGGCGAAGGCGGCCCCCUGGACGAAGACUGACGCUCAGGUGCGAAAGCGUGGGGAGCAAACAGGAUUAGAUACCCCUGUAGUC